UACGAAGGGGGCUAGCGUUGCUCGGAAUUACUGGGCGUAAAGCGCACGUAGGCGGAUUGUUAAGUCGGGGGUGAAAUCCUGGAGCUCAACUCCAGAGCUGCCUUCGAUACUGGCGAUCUCGAGUUCGGGAGAGGUGAGUGGAACUGCGAGUGUAGAGGUGAAAUUCGUAGAUAUUCGCAAGAACACCGGUGGCGAAGGCGGAUCUCUGGGCCUGUCCUGACGCUCAGGCGCGAAAGCUAGGGGAGCAAACAGG
rnacentral:rRNA from 1 species